GAUAGGUGAACAGCUGGUGAAGUCGGACAUUGAGUCCGCCUUUCGCUUGCUCCCGAUUCACCCUGACUGCUUCCACUUGUUCAGAUGCCACUUUCAGGGGUCGUUCUUUUUUAAUACGUGUUUGCCAAUGGGUUGCGCUAUUUCAUGUUCGUACUUUGAAAUGUUUGCAUCAUUUCUUGAACGGGGGUUUUAUUCAGGUGUCG